rnacentral:lncRNA from 1 species
UGUUGGUCCCCCAUUGGUCAACCAGGACACCACUGGUCUUCUUGGCCAUGAGAGCACACUGGUGGCUCGUGGUCACCAUGGUGGCCAGGAUGAUCCAUGCUGACUGCUUGACAAUGUGUAUAUAUCAUAAAUGAUGGAGUGGUGUGGGUUGGAAGGGACCUUGAAGAUAAGAAUUCUGCACUGAAAGGAGUACCUGACUCAAUUUAUAAUAAUAAAGAGCUGCUACGCUCCCUGAAUUAAUGGCAGACCAUGGAUCUGCAUAAUAUUCUGGAUUGAUAUUAUUCCAUUUUCAAAGACAAGAUGCUUCAGACGGCAAGAUAAAUAGCAAAGAAAAGGCUGGUUUGCUGCACGGCUCUUUCCUGCCUGCACAUCCUGUAUCGCUCCGGAGCAACCUUUGCUUUUAGCAGCCGGAUGCAUCGCAUCCAAUCGAUGGAGGCAGCAGUGGGGACUGAGGGAGUCCUGAGGGAGAGGGCAGGAAAUGGCAGCAAUCACCCACAGCCAGCCCUGUGCUGCUGCUGCUCGCUGCGGGCGUUGCUGGAUUUCAGAUUUUCUAAAUAAAUCCAUGGCAAAGAGUCUUUUCCAGAGCUUCAUGAAGUCAGCCAGGCUCAGGGUGCAGCUGUGUGAGAUUUCCAAUGUGCAAUUCCUAGUUUUUCCCUCUUUAAAUAGGCCUGUGGGUUGUAACAGCACGAAGCAGCGUCCUGCAGGUUUGGGAAGCGAGAGAAAAAGCUGCAGUGACAGCACAGAGCUCGUGCUGCAGGGGGCAAGUCUCCCCAGUUCCUGCAUUUAACCAACCCGACCCUUAUGUUUUCUCUCUCUGGGAUUUCUCUGCUGUCACGCUGCUGAUCACAGGGGAUCUGUUGCUGGGACCGAACACGUGGCCAAACAAAGCUCAGCUCAGCGGUGUGCUCCCAGUGAGCAGCCCCACCAGCUGCCUGCUGCAAACACUUCUUGGGAUCUGCAUUCCCUGCUGGGCUAUGGCUGGGGCCCUGCAUUGCUGUUCAUUGAGAAGACAAUGCUUUUCUGAUUGUUUGGCACCAGGUCCACGCACGUGUGAGCUGCGGGCGCUGCAGGAGAUGCAAUAGGCGCUGCAGGAGAUGCAAUAGGUGCUGCAGGAGCAGUGAGUGCUGCAAGAGAUGCAAUGUGUGCUGCAGGAUGAGCAACAGGUGCUGCAGGAGAUGCAGUAGGUGCUGCAGGAGGUGCAGUGGAUACUAUAGGGCGGCACCGGGGGGACUUCGCCCACCCACACCACGCUGCACAGCGCCACGAACCCCAUUUCAAUACGAAAUCACCCCAAAAGCGCCGGAUCCCAACGCUCCUUUCGGAACCCCACAUCCACUCCCCCACACCCCGUUCGGUC